rnacentral:lncRNA from 1 species
CGCCGCGCCCGCCGGUGCCGGUGCACGGCGGGGCCAUGGCGGCGGCCGGCAGUGACACGUGUCCUUGGCAGAGGCCGCCGCCGCGGGGGGGAGCGGCCCGGUGGAUGCGGCACCGGGCACGGCGCCGACACGCUGAAACCCUCCCCCCUCCCCCCUUCCUUCCAACCGCCACCCCACGGUAAAACCGGGCCCGGGCCCCGCCGCCCGGCUCCGCUGCCGGCCCCUCCCCGCCCCCCGGGCCCCGCCGGGCCCUCCGUCCCGCCCGGCCGCCAAGAUGGUGCCGGCGCCUGGGGCCUGCCCGCACAACCGGCAACCGGGCCCCCCCCGGGGCUCACCGGGCUUCUCGGGGGGGGGCUGCCCCCGGUGCGGCGGCUGAGUCAGGCCCCGCCGCUGCCCGCAGCACGGCCGGUCGGGCAGGUCCCGGGGCUGCGUCAGCCACCGGCGCCGCCACCGCCAGCCCCGGCCCUGCCGCCGUGCCGGCCGUGCCCGGUGGAACCGGCUCCGGCAGCCCCGAGGCGCGGGAGGAGAGCCGGGGCCGGGCGCGGACGGACGGACGGACGGACACGGCGGUGGGGCUGGGGGGGCCGCCCGGGUGGCGGCACCGGCACCGGUGGCCAGGCCUCGGGAGGCACCGAGCCCGUACCGGGGGGCACCGGGGGGGCACCGUGGCGGAGGUCCCGGGGUGCCCACGGGGUUGCUCCGUGGCCGGGCUGCUCGCCCCGGGGGGCUUCCCCAAAAAUCCUCACCCGGAGCUUGGCGAGACCCCGGGAGGUGCUGGGAUCCCCGGUGGCCCCGCCGCCACCGGCACGGGCAGGGCCCUUCCCCCUGCGCACCCCUGACACCGGCGUCUCCGGCACGGGGCGGGCGGCACCGAGCGGCUCCCGCUGCUGCCACCCCCCCGCCGUGCUCCCCGGUCCCCUCCCGGUGCCAGCUCCGUGCCUGGCACCGGGCAUCGCCCAGCCGGCACUUCCCGGAUGCCGGAGCCGUGCCGGGGGGGGGUGUGCGGGGGGGUCCGUGGCGGGGCGGCCGUGGGCACCCCGGUGUCGCCGUGCCCGUGGGUGGGGUUUUGGUGCUCCGGGGGCUGGCGGCGCUGCACUGCAGCACGCCCGGCCGGCCCGGCACAGCCUCGUGCUCCCGGCGGCCCCGGCGGCAGGCCGGCCCCGGCGGCCUCUCCGCGCGCCGGCAGGGCUGCAAGGCUGA